AUGCUUCCUGACACCUGCCCAGUUCUGCUGCUCCUCUUGAUGCUUGGAAAGAUCAAUGGAGACUCAGUGACCCAGACAGAAGGCCUGGUUACUGUCACAGAGGGGUCACCUGUGAUGCUGAGCUGCGCUUAUCAGACUACUUAUUCGGCUCCUACAGUUUUCUGGUAUGUGCAAGAUCUCAACAAAGCCCCUCAGCUGCUCCUGAAGAGCCUCACAGACAACAAGAGGACAGAGCACCAAGGGUUCCAUGCCACUCUCCAUAAGAGCAACAGUUCGUUCCACCUGCAGAAGUCCUCAGUGCAGCUGUCAGACUCUGCCCUGUACUACUGUGCUCUGAGUGACACAGUGACAGAGAUGCAGGGGAAGCUGCACACAAACCAAGGUGCAGGAGGCCUGAGGGGAGUGGCCCUGUGAGGGAGGGCUGUGUGCCUUCUCUCAAUGGGGUUUACCUAGCAUUCUGA